rnacentral:rRNA from 1 species
AUGACCCCAGGUCAGUCGGG